CCACUCACUGCCUCAUAGGCAAUUUCGCACUGACACAUAUGCGCUCCAAACUGUUUGAAACACUUUGUUGUUUUGUGAGGUACUGUAAAGUGUUUUCAGAUGGCGUAACGAUGUAGGUUCACCUGGAAAUAUUCCAGCGAGAGGAUUUUGUUUUGUUUCAACGGUGCGAUAACGACGAGCGCACAUUCCACACUUUCGACUUGUGUUAUUCUUUGAUGUAAAUUCGGUAAAUCGUGUUAUAUUUCCUGAUCGCCGGUGAUAAUUAGUGUUAUUAAACUUGUUUGAGCUUUUAUCAGCUAUUUAUCGCGUGUGUAAUCUUCGUAAUUGUAAAUUUUGCGUGUUUAAUUUAUUGAUGUGUACGUGAGUCCGUUGCCGUCGGGCCACGGCCGAUGAAAAUAUCAACGCUAUAAACGCUAAUAAUCAAUUGACUUGUGAAAAACAUAUUUGUCAUCAACAGAGGAGCAUGAAUCAAUGUGCUACCAGCAUUCGCCAACUUGCCGUCGAUCUACAUACCGUCUUCCAUAACCGGCGUUCUAUCACACUGAUACUACCCGUUCGUCUUAUGCGCACUUCGGGUUGCGGGGUGAGACGGCGGUAUUUGCGCCGAAUAAAAUAACAACUCACACUAUCUCUUAACAUUCCAAGUGAUCUUCGAAUGCAAUCAUGUCAUGCAAUAUGCGAUCUUAAAGUAAUAUAGAAUUCGUGCGUUAUUUGCAUGUUUUUGUUUUCGGGUUUAUCAACAUCACCUCAACGCCGAACUUUUUGUGCGCAAGUCCGGUGCAGGAAGCAAGCAGCGCAGGGAAACAAGUUAACGCGCAACGCACAGUCAGCAUCAUCAUUCAGUGCGCGACAUUGUCUGCAGUUACACCUGCGCUAAUAAAAAUGCCAAUAAUUUAUUAAAUCAGUAAAAAAGUGUUGCUACCAAUUGAAAAACAUUCCUCGAGGCACUCACAAAUGACCUUUCAAGGUCACCCACCUGACGUCCCGGAUUAGUCUUACUUUCCCAAGAUUGGAAAAAGGUUUGAACAUUGCUGUAAAUCGCUGUACAUAUUCGAUAUAUUGGGGCAUUUUUGUAAUUCGGGCGCGUUCGUUUUCGGUUUAUGUACUUUUUGUGUCUACUAAUAUUCCACACCUUCAUGUUUUAAGUAACUACCUCUUAAUAUCAUUAUUACUUUAUUGUUUUUCAAUCCUUUUAAUAUUCUUAUUUUUCAUAAUUUAAAAAAAUCCUUGCCAAUUUUGAUUAAUUUAUCAUUUAUUUAUUUUAUUCUUUAAAAAAUUUUUAGUUCCGAAUAUCUACCAAAUCAUCCCUACCCAGUAUUUUUAAUCUUUGUUUC